UACGUAGGGGGCUAGCGUUGUCCGGAAUCAUUGGGCGUAAAGCGCGUGUAGGCGGUCCGGUAAGUCCGCUGUGAAAGUCGAGGGCUCAACCCUCGAAUGCCGGUGGAUACUGUCGGGCUUGAGUACGGGAGAGGCGAGUGGAAUUCCUGGUGUAGCGGUGAAAUGCGCAGAUAUCAGGAGGAACACCGAUUGCGAAGGCAGCUCGCUGGAACGUUACUGACGCUGAGACGCGAAAGCGUGGGGAGCAAAUAGG
rnacentral:rRNA from 1 species